GCUUAAAAUCCAAAGGACUUGACGGUGUCCCAUCCUACUAGAGGAGCCUGUUUUAUAACCGAUAAUCCCCGCUUUACCUCACCACUUCUUGCCCACAUGCAGCCUGUAUACCUCCGUCGCAAGCUCGCCAUAUGAAUGCCCCAUAGCAAGCUUAAUGACUUUUACGCCAACACGUCAGGUCGAGGUGCAGCCCAUGAAGUGGGAAAUAAUGGGCUACAAUUUCUAAUAUAGAACAUACGAACAAUCAUCUGAAAUUAUGAUCAUGAAGGUGGAUUUAGUAGUAAAGGGGGAAAAUAACGCCCCCUUUAAUAACGGCCCUGGGACGCGUACAAACCGCCCGUCACCCUCUUCAACAACUUCCAUUUGUUAAUAACACCACUUGCGUACUAUAGAAGAGGCAAGUCGUAACACGGUAAGUGUACUGGAAAGUGCACUUGGAUACACAAAAUGUAGCUUAGAAAAGCCUUCCGCUUACACCGGAAAGACGUCCGUUAAAUCCAGAUCAUUUUGAGCCGCAACUCU
rnacentral:rRNA from 1 species